UACAGAGGGUGCAAGCGUUAAUCGGAAUUACUGGGCGUAAAGCGCGCGUAGGUGGUUCGUUAAGUUGGAUGUGAAAUCCCCGGGCUCAACCUGGGAACUGCAUUCAAAACUGUCGAGCUAGAGUAUGGUAGAGGGUGGUGGAAUUUCCUGUGUAGCGGUGAAAUGCGUAGAUAUAGGAAGGAACACCAGUGGCGAAGGCGACCACCUGGACUGAUACUGACGCUCAAGUGCGAAAGCGUGGGGAGCAAACAGG
rnacentral:rRNA from 1 species